rnacentral:rRNA from 1 species
UACACUUUAUAAUUAUAUAAUUAAAAUUACAAAUAUAAGAAAUCAUAAAAUAUUACUAAGUACAGCAAUAGAAAAUAUAAAUAAUAAAAAGUAAAUAUAU